rnacentral:rRNA from 1 species
UGGUUGCAGCAUUCCGUUGUAAAAUUAGGUGUUUCCGGGAACAAAAGGGAGGAAGGGGGGGGAGAGGUCAAAUCAUCAUGCCCCUUAUGACCUGGCCCCCCCCGUGGUACAAUGGAUGGUACAAAGGCCUGCAAACCCGCGAAGGUAAGCGAAUCCCAUAAACUCAUCCGAUAAUUCGGAUUGCAGGCUGCAACUCGCCUGCAUGAAGCCGGAAUCGCUAGUAAUCGCGGAUCAGCAUGCCCCGGUUAAUACGUUCCCGGGCCUUGUACACACCGCCCGUCACCCCCCGAUUUGUAACACCCGAAGUCGGUGAGGUAACCUUCAUGGAGCCAGCCGCCCUAG